rnacentral:rRNA from 1 species
UCAGAGGGGGGUAGAAUNCCACGUGUAGCAGUGAAAUACGUAGAGAUGUGGAGGAAUACCGAUGGCGAAGGCAGCCCCCUGGGAUAAUACUGACGUUCAUGCUNGAAAGCGUGGGUAGCAAACAGGAUUAGAUACCCUGGUAGUCCACGCCCUAAACGAUGUCGAUUAGCUGUUGGGCAACUUGAUUGCUUAGUAGCGUAGCUAACGCGUGAAAUCGACCGCCUGGGGAGUACGGUCGCAAGAUUAAAACUCAAAGGAAUUGACGGGGACCCGCACAAGCGGUGGAUGAUGUGGAUUAAUUCGAUGCAACGCGAAGAACCUUACCUGGUCUUGACAUGUACGGAAGAACUCAGAGACGAGUUUGUGCCUUCGGGAGCCGUAACACAGGUGCUGCAUGGCUGUCGUCAGCUCGUGUCGUGAGAUGUUGGGUUAAGUCCCGCAACGAGCGCAACCCUUGUCAUUAGUUGCCAUCAUUUAGUUGGGCACUCUAAUGAGACUGCCGGUGACAAACCGGAGGAAGGUGGGGAUGACGUCAAGUCCUCAUGGCCCUUAUGACCAGGGCUUCACACGUCAUACAAUGGUCGGUACAGAGGGUAGCCAAACCGCGAGGUGGAGCCAAUCCCAGAAAACCGAUCGUAGUCCGGAUUGCACUCUGCAACUCGAGUGCAUGAAGUCGGAAUCGCUAGUAAUCGCAGGUCAGCAUACUGCGGUGAAUACGUUCCCGGGUCUUGUACACACCGCCCGUCACACCAUGGGAGUGGGGGAUACCAGAAGUAGGUAGGGUAACCGCAAGGAGCCCGCUUA